rnacentral:rRNA from 1 species
AGCGAACAGAUGAGAAGCUUGCUUCUCUGAUGUUAGCGGCGGACGGGUGAGUAACACGUGGGUAACCUACCUAUAAGACUGGGAUAACUCCGGGAAACCGGGGCUAAUACCUGAUAAUAUUUUGAACCGCAUGGUUCAAUAGUGAAAGACGGCUUCGGCUGUCACUUAUAGAUGGACCCGCGCCGUAUUAGCUAGUUGGUAAGGUAAUGGCUUACCAAGGCAACGAUACGUAGCCGACCUGAGAGGGUGAUCGGCCACACUGGAACUGAGACACGGUCCAGACUCCUACGGGAGGCAGCAGUAGGGAAUCUUCCGCAAUGGGCGAAAGCCUGACGGAGCAACGCCGCGUGAGUGAUGAAGGUCUUAGGAUCGUAAAACUCUGUUGUUAGGGAAGAACAAAUUUGUUAGUAACUGAACAAGUCUUGACGGUACCUAACCAGAAAGCCACGGCUAACUACGUGCCAGCAGCCGCGGUAAUACGUAGGUGGCAAGCGUUAUCCGGAAUUAUUGGGCGUAAAGCGCGCGUAGGCGGUUUCUUAAGUCUGAUGUGAAAGUCCACGGCUCAACCGUGGAAGGUCAUUGGAAACUGGGGAACUUGAGUGCAGAAGAGGAGAGUGGAAUUCCAUGUGUAGCGGUGAAAUGCGCAGAGAUAUGGAGGAACACCAGUGGCGAAGGCGGCUCUCUGGUCUGUAACUGACGCUGAUGUGCGAAAGCGUGG